rnacentral:rRNA from 1 species
UACGUAGGGGGCAAGCGUUGUCCGGAUUUAUUGGGCGUAAAGAGCUCGUAGGCGGUUUGUUGCGUCCGCUGUGAAAACUCGGGGCUUAACCCCGAGCCUGCAGUGGAUACGGGCAGACUAGAGGUAGGUAGGGGAGAAUGGAAUUCCCGGUGUAGCGGUGAAAUGCGCAGAUAUCGGGAGGAACACCGGUGGCGAAGGCGGCUCACUGGACCAUUACUGACGCUGAUGCUCGAAAGCUAGGGGAGCAAACAGG